GUGAGGAAUAUUGGUCAAUGGGCGAGAGCCUGAACCAGCCAAGUAGCGUGAAGGAUGAAGGUCCUACGGAUUGUAAACUUCUUUUAUACGGGAAUAAAGUUUCCUACGUGUAGGAUUUUGUAUGUACCGUAUGAAUAAGCAUCGGCUAACUCCGUGCCAGCAGCCGCGGUAAUACGGAGGAUGCGAGCGUUAUCCGGAUUUAUUGGGUUUAAAGGGAGCGCAGACGGGAGAUUAAGUCAGUUGUGAAAGUUUGCGGCUCAACCGUAAAAUUGCAGUUGCUACUGGUUUCCUUGAGUGCAGUUGAGGCAGGCGGAAUUCGUGGUGUAGCGGUGAAAUGCUUAGAUAUCACGAAGAACCCCGAUUGCGAAGGCAGCUUGCUAAACUGUAACUGACGUUCAUGCUCUAAAGUGUGGGUAUCAAACAGGAUUAGAAACCCCGGUAGUCC
rnacentral:rRNA from 1 species